rnacentral:rRNA from 1 species
AGAAUCAACGCUGGCGGCGUGCCUAACACAUGCAAGUCGCACGAGAAAGGGUAGCAAUACCUGAGUACAGUGGCGCACGGGUGAGUAACACGUGAAUAAUCUACCUCCGAGUGGGGAAUAACUGAGAGAAAUCUUAGCUAAUACCGCAUAACACUUACGAGUCAAAGCAGCAAUGCGCUUGGAGAGGAGUUCGCGGCAGAUUAGUUAGUUGGCGGGUAAUGGCCCACCAAGACGAUGAUCUGU